rnacentral:rRNA from 1 species
GGCUCUGAUUGCUACUGCACCACAUGUGUUUUUCUUUGAAACAAACUUGCUUUGGCGGUGGGCCCAGCCUGCCGCCAGAGGUCUAAACUUACAACCAAUUUUUUAUCAACUUGUCACACCAGAUUAUUACUAAUAGUCAAAACUUUCAACAACGGAUCUCUUGGUUCUCGCAUCGAUGAAGAACGCAGCGAAAUGCGAUACGUAAUAUGAAUUGCAGAUAUUCGUGAAUCAUCGAAUCUUUGAACGCACAUUGCGCCCUCUGGUAUUCCGGAGGGCAUGCCUGUUUGAGCGUCGUUUCUCCCUCAAACCGCUGGGUUUGGUGUUGAGCAAUACGACUUGGGUUUGCUUGAAAGACGGUAGUGGUAAGGCGGGAUCGCUUUGACAAUGGCUUAGGUCUAACCAAAAACAUUGCUUGCGGCGGUAACGUCUACCACGUAUAUCUUCAAACUUUGACCUCAAAUCAGGUAGGACUACCCGCUGAACUUAAGCAUAUCAAUAAGCGGGAGGAA